AGCUCUUUUCCCCCUCCUAUUUUGAUGCUUAGUGUCUAAACUGAAUCCAAUGUGCUCAGAAAGUAUAUGUCUGGAUUAGCCUAGAAGCUGAUACUACAGAAGGCAGUUUGCCCCUGGCCAUGCAGAGUGGUGAACCACACUAGUUCCAGCCCCAGCUGUCAGGCCAGGAUUUCGCCCUCGCCCUUCUCCAAUCAAUACAUAGAACUGCCUGGUGCCAUCAGGAAGGAGCUGUAUUUUUUUAAAUGAAUAAAAUAGAACAACCAGAAUCUUUCCAUCUUUUACGUUACCCUCUGCUUUCUGCCCAGGAAUGGAGACCCUCAAAAGCUACAGCUGGAACAGCGAGAUGCAAAAAAAUCCUGAGCCUUCAAAGCCAGAUCGUGCAGAAGAGAAAGGGCCUGUCAGCUGAGCUGGAUGCUUCAGGAGCAGAGGAUCUAUCAACUGCAGACCAAGCAUGGGAGACGCAGGCAGACCUGGAACAGAAACCCAGCCCGCUCCAGCCGCUCGGACAGAACUUGGUAGCCGGAUGGUCUGCAGCAGGACACAUGCCACGGGCCGCGGGGCAGGAAAUGACCCAAUCCUCGAGGUCUGGUAAGUUUCCUCACUUUUCGGAAAGUGAGGCAAAUGAUAACCAAGUCUAUCUUUCCUUCCUUGGAAGAGUCACCAGCAUUUCUGCUAAUUUCAGUUAAUGAGUUAAACAUCAAAAACAGGAUGCUCCCCUCACCCCCAGAGCAGAUCUGAGAAGCUGGAGGGGCCAUGAGGGAAGAAUGGGAGUUCACGGGACAGACAAGGGCUAACCAAACUCUGAUCUUACGGUGAGCCACUGCAGCCAAGCAGAUGUCCUGAGUAUCGAUCCCUGCGUCUUGUUAUUGAUUUCCUCUUGGGGCCAAGAGUCGGGUGGACCUCCAGAGGACAAGAAGAGAACCGACACCCUCCCUGAGGGCCGAGCCGCCCUAAUCGGUGAUAACAGUGUUAAGUGGUCAGCCUGGAGAGGAGGCUUGCUUAGUUCUAUUGAUCUACACUCCCCAGAGAUAUAAAUCCUUCUGAAUUUUCUUCCAUGGAUAUAAAUAUUUAUAAUUAAAAUAGCCGAGGAGCCUCUUACAGGCACAGGGAGAGUGGUCCAUCCAGGAUGGUCUUUGAUAUUAGUGCCCUCCCUCUCCUGACUUUGUGUACUCUUCCCCCUCUCAUGUAUCUGUUUAUAAAUUUCAUUCCUUCUUUUGAACCCCAUGUGGCUCACCCUCAGAGUGACAGUCACAAUAUCUCGGGCUUAUCAGAUACUGGGAAAAAUCCAUCCUUUCCAAACACAGCCUGCAGCUGAGAAAGGGGUGCCGCUCUCCUCAGUCAAGGCUACAGUUUCUGCACUCGGAAGGGAUGGGCUGUGUUUCGGGGGUGGGGACAGUAAGGGGAAGACUUCUUGAGUUGUUGCUUUGUUCUUGCUUUCAUUGGGGGCAUCAGCUUGGUUAGAGUAACAAACAGCUCAAAUGUGUUAGCCCUAAUGUGUUAACCUGUGCCAAGACCCUGUGUCGCCUCACCUGCUGUGUUAAAUCUAGGAAGAUAACUUGAAGGACCCCCAGAUACCUGUUUCUCAGCACCUCAUAAAUCUAAGCUCACAUGAAAUGAACAGAGCAUCCCUUUCCCAAGAGUAUGGGAAAAGGAAGGAUGCUUAGAACUUCUUUGGGAACAAAGCCUUUGAAGCCAGCCAGCAAGAACAAAACCAUUGACCAAAGUUUUGUCCACUAUCAGGACAACCUUAUAGAGAAUUGGAAAUAUUCAGCUUUAAUGUUUAGAAAUUUGGGUGGCAAGGGAGAAUGGUCUUUCAAAUCAUUUGCUGUGCUGCAGAAACCGAUGGUCUGCUUUGGUGUCCGGGAUACAAUCCUUUCCAUUUUGGAAAUUCUGACUCCUUCUAUCAGGCAUCUGCCUUGCUUUGAUGCUUAAAUCUUGAACUGUGUGUCUUUGUGCUUCUGCCUCAGCAGGUUUCAUUAAUUUGUAAUUGAUGGCUACAAAAUUGUUUAAGGACUUGUAGAUUUUAUGCUUGUCAAGGGUUUGUUUUAAUGGGUGUGUGUGCACCGUCUAGGAUGCAGGGAGAAUUGACUGAGUUUUGCUUCUCCUCAUUUUAGAAUGUUUAGUCACUCAGGUCCAUCUGUGUGAGUUAAUAAAUGUAUGUCUUGGUAUCUCUGUGCAACUGUCUAUACUUGGAAAGCAAUGAACAUAAGCAGGUUAAAGCCCACAGUUCUCUACCAUUAACUGUGUCUUUCCCAGAUGCAUAUUAAGCUUUGCUAUUUUUUUCUUUUUAUUCAGAGGUGGUAGUUUCAGAACCCAAAUCUAGCCCAUUUGUCUCUUUUAGCAAAUGAUUGAGGGUUAGGGAUUAUUCCAGUUGGCAGUCAAGGGUCAGCAUUUUGGACUCCAUUUGGCUUAGAUAAUUUAUAAAAAAUAAAACUCUAAUAGGUAUAAUCAUGGUAGCCUUGGCUUAAGAAUGUUUCUAGGCAUACUUGAGGUUGAAAAACACUUCAGGUAUAAAUGGAAGAAUGUUCUGGUGAGUAACUUGUAUGCUUCUGUGGUAAUGGAGAGAAUUGGAACGCAGCUCUCUUUGUUUGAUUUAUACGGCAACAUCCAGAAUGUGAAAGGUGUAUUUUACUGUAGAAAUAAACUUUCAACAUUGAGCUAGAUAAUGGAAGACCCAGGCUAGUACUUAAAUCCUUCUCUGCUAGGUUAUAAUGAAAAGCAUAAUUAAAUAGAAUGGUUUUUUUUUUUUUUUUUUAGGGAGAAAAACCCUGAGAUUGGUCUCUUUUUCCCAUUGUUUGCAAUAUUUGUCAACAUGCACUUGUAUGAUUUCUCUGAAGAACAAGGUUAUUUGGAGAAAGUGGUCUAAAUUUUAGAACUGAAUGCACUUUGCUAAUUAAAUGUGGUUUUUGUGAUCUUAGGGCCACUAAAUCUAAAUAGCACAUACAUAAAUCCAUUGUUGUCUUGUGCUACUGUUCCUACAGGUCAUAUUUGAAAGCUUGCUGCCCACCAUAGGGAAAUGAUUUUAUUAUAGAAUCAAACAGUGGCUUAGGAUAACAAUUGUUCAGUGUCUUCAGUCUUGUAGGAAUUUAACCCCUAUGUUAUCGAUAUAGUCAUAUGCUAUAUUUGCCUUUUAUGUUUUAAUACAUAAUGAUGUAUUUAUCAGUCCCAUUUUCCUAAUAGGUUUUAUAUUCAAUAUAUUUUACAGUACAAGGAAAGAAAUAUUUCUCUGUUGUUUCUAUAAUCAUAACAUAAAACAUAAUGUCAAUAUUUCACUGUUAUCUCCAUGAAACAGUAUAUGUAUCAUGUUUCAAGCCUUCUUAAACAUCUUGACAUUUGAUGUUGUCAUUUAUAUCCUUAGAGCAAACUUAGGAGGCAAGUUAGAGCACAGGUCAUUAUCUCCAUUUUACCAAUAAUAAACAUGCACAAUGUAACACAGAUACUAGUGUCAGACUUGGGCUUAUGACUUGAGGCUAUGGACUCCUGGUCAAGUGCUCUUUCCAAAGCUGCCUGCAGCUACCAUUAAUGCUUGAUAAAAUUUUAGCAUAUUGUGUAUUUCCAACAUCUAUUACAACCACUAACAUGGAUAUAAGGCAAAUGUUGGUUAAUCUUAAUUGAUCAUUAGCUUUCUACUUAUACAAGAAGAGGUUACAAAUACAUAGUUCAGGCAUCUUUAUUUGGCCUUUAGCAUACCACAACUAGCUGCAGAAUCCAGUGUCAUGACAUACCUUUUUGUUAGGCUCAGAAAUUCAGUGAGUCAUUAAUAUGCCUAAUCAAUAGAUUUGCUUCCCGUGAACAUACCCUGUCAAAACAUAUGACUAUAUAUUAUUCACUGUAUUUAACUGUGUGUCACAAAACCAUUGUGUACAUAUUUAGUCUCCAUACUUACCAACAUUUCCUUUUAAAGAAACAUUAUGUAUAAGUUGAAGCAUCAAGAUGAAAUGCUUAAAAUAAAGCAUAAACUUUUCCUCUUUCUGAAAAAAGCACUGCUCCCUCCCUCAACCUUCUCGCUACUUCAGGGAUUCUUAACCUUCUCGGUGCUGUAAACCCCACUGCCAGUCUGCCAUAGACCUGAAGUCUAUGGGCCUUUUCUCAUAAUAUUUCUCAUAAAUGUAUGAAAUAAAAUAUAUAGAAUUACAAGGAAAACUAAUUUAUAUUAAAAUUCAGUUAUCU
ensembl:lincRNA